rnacentral:rRNA from 1 species
GGCAGACGGGUGAGUAACAUGUAGGUAUCUGCCCUUUGGCCUGGAAUAACACGAGGAAACUUGUGCUAAUACCGGAUAAGUCUUUACGGAGAAAGCUUUAUGCACCAUUGGAUGAGCCUGCACUUGAUUAGUUUGUUGGUGGGGUAAUGGCCUACCAAGACUGUGAUCAAUAGCUGAUUUGAGAGGAUGAUCAGCCACAUUGGGACUGAGACACGGCCCAAACUCCUACGGGAGGCAGCAGUGGGGAAUCUUGCACAAUGGAGGAAACUCUGAUGCAGCGAUGCCGCGUGAGUGAAGAAGGCCCUUGGGUUGUAAAGCUCUUUCGUCGGGGAAGAAAAUGACUGUACCCGAAUAAGAAGGUCCGGCUAACUUCGUGCCAGCAGCCGCGGUAAUACGAAGGGACCUAGCGUAGUUCGGAAUUACUGGGCUUAAAGAGUUCGUAGGUGGUUGAAAAAGUUGGUGGUGAAAUCCCAGAGCUUAACUCUGGAACUGCCAUCAAAACUUUUCAGCUAGAGUUUGAUAGAGGAAAGCAGAAUUUCUAGUGUAGAGGUGAAAUUCGUAGAUAUUAGAAAGAAUACCAAUUGCGAAGGCAGCUUUCUGGAUCAUUACUGACACUGAGGAACGAAAGCAUGGGUAGCGAAGAGGAUUAGAUACCCUCGUAGUCCAUGCCGUAAACGAUGUGUGUUAGACGUUGGAAAUUUAUUUUCAGUGUCGCAGCGAAAGCGAUAAACACACCGCCUGGGGAGUACGACCGCAAGGUUAAAACUCAAAUGAAUUGACGGGGACCCGCACAAGUAGUGGAGCAUGUGGUUUAAUUCGAAGAUACGCGCAGAACCUUACCAACACUUGACAUGUUCGUCGCGACUUUAAGAGAUUAAAGUUUUCGGUUCGGCCGGACGAAACACAGGUGCUGCAUGGCUGUCGUCAGCUCGUGUCGUGAGAUGUUGGGUUAAGUCCCGCAACGAGCGCAACCCUCACUUUUAGUUGCCAUCAUUUAGUUGGGCACUCUGAAAGAACUGCCAGUGAUAAGCUGGAGGAAGGUGGGGAUGACGUCAAGUCCUCAUGGCCCUUACGUGUUGGGCUACACACGUGCUACAAUGGCAUUUACAAUAGGAAGCAAAACGGCGACGUUAAGCAAAUCCUAAAAAAAUGCCUCAGUUCGGAUUGUACUCUGCAACUCGAGUACAUGAAGCUGGAAUUACUAGUAAUCGCGGAUCAGCGCGCCGCGGUGAAUACGUUCCCGGGUCUUGUACACACCGCCCGUCACACCAUGGGAGUUGGUUCUACCUUAA